GAGUUUGAUCCUGGCUCAGGACGAACGCUGGCGGCGUGCUUAACACAUGCAAGUCGAACGGGAACCUUUAUUUCGGUAAAAGUGAGAGUGGCAAACGGGUGAGUAACACGUAGGCAACCUGCCGACAGGAUGGGGACAACAUUCCGAAAGGAAUGCUAAUACCGAAUGGAGUCCAGGGAUGGCAUCAUCCUUGGAUAAAAGAUGGCCUCUGAAUAUGCUAUCGCCUGUCGAUGGGCCUGCGUCUGAUUAGCCAGUUGGCGGGGUAACGGCCCACCAAAGCGACGAUCAGUAGCCGGUCUGAGAGGAUGAACGGCCACAUUGGGACUGAGACACGGCCCAGACUCCUACGGGAGGCAGCAGUGGGGAAUCUUCCACAAUGGGCGAAAGCCUGAUGGAGCAACGCCGCGUGAGUGAAGAAGGUCUUCGGAUCGUAAAGCUCUGUUGCACGGGACGAAAACCGAGCUUGAGAAUAUUGAGUUUGGGUGACGGUACCGAGCGAGGAAGCCACGGCUAACUACGUGCCAGCAGCCGCGGUAAUACGUAGGUGGCGAGCGUUGUCCGGAAUUAUUGGGCGUAAAGGGAGCGCAGGCGGACAUAUAAGUCCAUCUUAAAAGUGCGGGGCUCAACCCCGUGAGGGGAUGGAAACUGUAUGCCUUGAGUGCAGGAGAGGAAAGCGGAAUUCCCAGUUGUAGCGGUGAAAUGCGUAGAUAUUGAGAGGAACACCACGUGGCGGAAGGCGGAUC
rnacentral:rRNA from 1 species